UCAAUUGUUUUAUAAUUGAAGACUAGAAUGAAUGGUAGAAUGAAAUAAAAACUGUCUUGUUUAUAUUUAUUAGAAGUUGUCUUUUAGAUGAAGAGGUUUAAAUGUGAUUGAUAGACAAGAAGACCCUAUUGAGCUUAAAAUUGUUUUAAAGAUAUAUUUUAUUUAUGUAAAUAUAAGGUUUGAUUUUUUUUUUGGUUGGGGCGACUGGGGAAUAGUAAAAGCUUCCCUUAUGUGAAAAGAUUAUUGAAUAUUUGAUCCAAUAAUGAUUGAUUAAAAGAGAUAGUUACCGUAGGGAUAACAGCAUAAUCUUCUUUGAGAGUUCAUAUCGAAGAGAGGGGUUGUGACCUCGAUGUUGGACUAAAAUAUCCUAUAAAUGCA
rnacentral:rRNA from 1 species